CAGGGCUUGUGGGGAGUUGGCUGCCCAGAAAUCUGAGAGAAAAUAAGACAUGUAAAGUCCUGCUCACCCAUGAAAGUUUCUAAAUACAGGAGCUCUGAUUCUAAAAUCAUCUCCAUUUAUAUUGGUUUAUCUUUUUAAGACACUUUGUUGUUUCAGAGCUACCUUGCCAUGAAGAUUCAUUACCUUUUCUUUGCUCUUUUCUUCCUUGGCCAGCUGUCUACCUCAGGAACUGAAGAUGCUUAUGAAGUCAUUAGUAUCAUGGACUGUAAAAAUCAAACACUGUGUAAUUCUCAGAAUACAACUAGACACUGCUCUCAUGGGAAGGAGAUUGAACUAUGUGUCUUGCGUCUUGGAAAAAAUGCAAAGCGACUCACUAACCAUGAAGAAACAGCAAAUUAGGAAGACAGGAUGAUCAAUUUCCUUGUCUUAUUAAAAAAUAAAGUCUGCUUUCUUUUCUCUCUCC
rnacentral:lncRNA from 1 species